rnacentral:rRNA from 1 species
UUGACGGGGACCCGCACAAGCGGUGGAGCAUGUGGUUUAAUUCGACGGUAAGCGAGGAACCUUACCAGGGUUUGACAUUCUUCUGCAAGCGCACGGAAACGUGUGACCUUCGAGGGUGAAGAACAGGUGCUGCACGGUUGAAACUUCGACCCAUUCAGUGGAAACACUGGAUUGCAAACCGGACCAAAACGGUGAAACCCUAAUAGCUAUGUUAAAAUAUAGUUAUGGGCAAUACCGUGGGAAAUUCAAGCGCUGGGUUCUGCAAAUUUUUCGCAGAUCCGUCACAUGCAUAUAUACUUGGUUUGUGGUGCGCCGAUGGUUAUCAUCGGACGAGUAGUAUUGGUCUGAGCAAUGUUAACGAGAAUCUCAUACAAAAGUUCGCCGAUUUUCUAAAGACAUUGCUUCCUGCUGAUAGAUUAAAGCUAAAGGUAUAUCUAAACCGAAACAUAGUUGCUAAAACUGUAAGUUUUGGAAUUUUGGAUAUCAAAAAUUUCUAUUCAGCAAAAGCCAAACAACCAGCUUAUCAUGUAUAUGUAAAUUCCAGACCGUUGUUAUCAGAAUUCAAGUUAGCAAAACUAAGCAACAAGGACUUUGAUUCAAUUCAAGCGACUUAUGCUUAUUUGGCUGGCAGGUUUGAUGGCGAUGGAACUAUUGGAAAAGACAUGCGCAGAGAUUUAAGGAUUAGUUAUACUACCAAACUUGAAGCAGAAGCAGAUAAAGAGCUUCUGGAAAAAUUGGGCUUCAGGCUUUGCAAAGUAUAUUAUUAUAAAACCUCUGUUGCUUAUGUCUUGUAUGUGUCGAGGUUUGAAGCAGAAAAAUUUAUCGAAAAGAUAUUGCUUUAUUCAUUAAGGUUGCAGAAUUCAGCGUUUGAAUCCCGUAGAGACUUGAUUGCUAUUAAAAGCCAGCAAUCGGAUGCCAAUUUGGCAUAAUACGGCCGGCUCCGUAAUUGUUUGUCGCAAACGGAGAUGGUAUAGUCCGUACCAUCCGCCUACGCUCUUAAAUUAGAGAGCUUCGGCGGACACGCCAUAGCCUUGCGCGAAGGCGUGUUAGUAAUAAUGGAUUAAUACGGUCGUCAGCUCGUGUCGUGAGAUGUUCCCUUAAGUGGGAGAACGAGCGCAACCCCCGUGAUAUGUUGAUUUUCAUAUCAGACUGCCGGCGUUUAAGCCGGAGGAAGGUGGGGAUGACGUCAAAUCAGCGUGGCUUUUACGCCCUGGGCGACACACGUGCUACAAUGGGUAGGAACAAAGGGACGCAAUACCGCAAGGUGGAGCAAAUCCUCUCAAAAACUACCCUCAGUUCGGAUUGAGGGCUGCAACUCGCCCUCAUGAAGCUGGAAUCGCUAGUAACCGUGAAUCAGCCUCGUCACGGUGAAUACGUUCUCGGGUUUUGUACACACCGCCCGUCACACCAUGGAAGUGGUUAAUACCCAAUAUCUGCGCAAGCGGACUAAGGUAAGAAUCAUGACUGGGGUGAAGUCGUAACAAGGCAUCGGUAGCGGAAGCUGUCGAUGGAUCACCUCCUUUCUAAGGAG